UGCUGGGUAGCUCAGUUGGUAGAGCACUUGCCCGAGGAAGGCAGAGGUCCCGAGUUCGAGUCUCGGUCCGGCAC
rnacentral:tRNA from 1 species